AGAGUUUGAUCCUGGCUCAGGAUGAACGCUGGCGGCGUGCCUAAUACAUGCAAGUCGAGCGGCAGCACGGUCUUCGGACUGGUGGCGAGCGGCGGACGGCUGAGUAACGCGUAGGAAUAUACCCCAAAGUGAGGGAUAACUGCCCGAAAGGUGGCUAAUACCGCAUGUGGUCUUCGGACUAAAGCCUUCGGGCGCUUUGGGAAUAGCCUGCGUAAGAUUAGCUAGUUGGUGAGGUAAUGGCUCACCAAGGCGACGAUCUUUAGCUGGUCUGAGAGGAUGACCAGCCAGACUGGAACUGAGACACGGUCCAGACUCCUACGGGAGGCAGCAGUAGGGAAUUUUCCACAAUGGCGAAAGCCUGAUGGAGCAACGCCGCGUGCAGGAUGAAGGCCCUCGGGUCGUAAACUGCUUUUAUGUGCGAAGAAUAUGACGGUAACACAUGAAUAAGGGUCGGCUAACUACGUG
rnacentral:rRNA from 1 species